ACCGGGAUGACCCCCGCCAGUCCAAAGGCGGGUAACUGGGACCCAUAUCGAGGUUGUCGCUUAAUAUGGCCCCAGUAGAGCGGCCGUCUCCCCUGUGGUCAGUUUGUCUUGGUGCGUGGUAGGCCUCGCUGCUAGGCUCCGGUUUUUGCUGUGGGAGCUGCAAGCUUCGCGUACCGUUAGGUGCCGCUUCAGGUGCUGGUUAUCCUCCUCAGUCUGGUAGGCUGUUCCAGGC